AGGACGAACGCUGGCGGCGCGCCUAACACAUGCAAGUCGAACGGAGCUUAGAGAGCUUGCUUUUUAAGCUUAGUGGCGGACGGGUGAGUAAUGUGUAGAGAAUCUGCCCUUGAGUGGGGGACAACAGUUGGAAACGACUGCUAAUACCCCAUAUGAGCUUAGCUGAAAUGCUAAUCUUGAAAACUCCGGUGCUCUAGGAUGAGCCUGCACCUGAUUAGCUUGUUGGUGGUGUAAUGGACUACCAAGGCGACGAUCAGUAGCUGGUUUGAGAGGAUGAUCAGCCACAAUGGGACUGAGACACGGCCCAUACUCCUACGGGAGGCAGCAGUAGGGAAUUUUGCGCAAUGGGCGAAAGCCUGACGCAGCAACGCCGCGUGUGUGAUGACGCCCUUCGGGGUGUAAAACACUGUCAGUAGGGACGAAUUUUGACGGUACCUACAGAGGAAGCACCGGCUAACUCCGUG
rnacentral:rRNA from 1 species